rnacentral:piRNA from 1 species
UGAAAUUUUCUUUGUAACUUU